rnacentral:lncRNA from 1 species
AGGAUCUACUGCAUCUGCUAUCACAGCAGCAAACUCAGGGAGGUGAUCACAGGAGACCUGCUGCCAUCCUCCGCCAUGGUCAAAGACUUGAGCCAAGAGCUGGGGCUGCCCAUUUCGCAAGGCCUCACAGAUGGAAAGCCGUUGGUCUUGCCAACUCCUCCCACCCCCAAUCUCGCGGACUUCCGAGGUCAGAAAUCCGACCUCGCUUAUGAGAUCCAAGCCCACCAGGAGAAGUAUCUGCAGUGGCGGAACGCCAUGGUGCUAAAGAACAGAGGCCAGGAGCGCAGCCUGAUCCAGGUGGGCACUCUCUCCUCCCCGGGUCAGGGGUCCCAGGCCUUCGCCCCACCUGGGCUGUCCAGUCACCACGGGGAUACAGGGCAGAGGACCAGUUCCUGUACCUACUCUCCUGGGAUCCCAGGCAGGUUGCAUAAGAGGUGCCGGGUUGGGGGCUGAACCAGGUCAGAAGUGUUCACUCCCAGCUGUCAGGUGCCCAUCGUUCCUGAAAGUGAAAAGGAACGCUCUUAGGUGUUGUCACCUUUACCUUGGCCCCGGAGUUCACCUUGAAGGCUGGGCGCUAAGGAAAAUCUCCCUCCCUCCACAGCCACCACGAAGGCUUAAAACACUGACAUCCAAGGUGUGACUUGAACUUGUCCGCCCAUGGUCUGUGUGAAGCACCUCCCUCCCCCCAAUCUCCAGGGAGAGAAAAGUUCAGAAAGAAGUUUGUGAGCUUUGCAAGUGGAUAUUGUUUAUGAAAACCAGCAAAGAGGUUGUUUUCCCAUUUGUGUUGAGGUUUUUGGUUUUUCAAAAGAACCAGUUCUUGGAUUCAUCAAUCUGCUUUUUCUCUGGUCUGUUUUCUAAUUAAUGUCAGCUUUUAUCUUUUAUCAUCUUUUAAAACUUUUUCUCUUCUUUCUAGCUUCUUUAAAUUUUAUUAUUGAAGUAUAAUUGGCAUAUCGUUAGUAAGUGUAGUCACCAUCUGUCACCAAAAAACAUUAUUACAGUACUAUUGACCAUAUUCCCCAUGUCGUAAUUUGAAUCUCUGUGGCUUAUUUAUUUUAUAAUUGGACAUUUGUACCUCUUAAUCCCUUUUAUCUAUUUCACCCAUCCCUCCACUCACAUCCCCUCUGGAAACUACCAGUUUGUUUUCUGUUUUUAAGAGUCUAUUUGUUUUUUGUUUGUUUGUUCAUUUGCUUUAUUUUUAGACUCUACAUAUAAGAGAAAUCAUACGGUAUUCGUCUUUCUCUGACUUACUGUACUUAGCAUUAUAUUCUCUAACCCCAUCCAUGUUAUUGCAAAUGGCAAGAUCUCAUUCUUUUUUUAUGGCUGAGUAAUAUCCCAUUGUACAUAUAUACCACAUCUCCUUAUCCAUUAAUCAGUUGAUGGACACUUGGGCUGUUUCCCCAUCUUGGCUAUUGUAAAUACUGCUGCAGUCAACAUAGAUGUGCAUGUAUCUUUUCAAAUUAGUGUUUUCAUUUUCUUUGAGUAAAUACCCAGUAGUGGAAUUACUGGAUCAUAUGGUAGUCAUAUUUUUAAUUUUCUGAGGCACCUCCAUACUGUUUUCCACAGUUGCUGCACCUUUCUAGCUUCUUGAGUUGACUAUUUCAUUCAUUUUUAUUCUUCCUUAUUUAAUAAGAAAGGCUACACAUUUUCCUCUGUACACAUCCUUGGCCACAUUCUGUAAAGUGUUACAUGUAUUGUAUGUUGCGAUUGUUAUUUGCCUGAAAUGUCUUAGAAAUUUCAGAACAAAACAAGACCUAGAUACAGUCCUAGAAAAAAGUCAAACCACUGAGACUAUGAGCAGUCUUCUCUGACCCCCUUAUUCUACCUUCUCAAUGCACUUACACAGGUACACACUUGUGCACACAUGCAUUCAAGUACACAAAUGUAUCACAUUCAUUUAUGGGUUAACACUGUUUUGUUAAUGGCAUUUAACACAGGGCCUUGAAGAUUUUAUAAAAAUAUGCCUGUACAGAAUUUUGUAAUAUGUUUGUACAAUUAAUAUCUUCCUAUCAUCUGUAUUUUAUUGAAACCACUUGGAAAUAUUGUUUCUAUUAUCUUAGUUAUUGCUAAUUUCACAUGGCCUUAAGUAGCUUAUCCAUGCUAUAAUCAACCAUUGAAACCCAGCCAUAACUUAAUUUUUCUAUUUUUACUCUAAGAUAUAAUUUACAUACCAUAAAAUUUAAUCAUUGUAAGUGUAUAUAAAUCAGUAAUUUUUAAGCAAAUUUGUGGAGUUGUGUACAACACAAUCCAGUUUUAGAACAUUUCCAUACCCAUAAAAUUUUUCCCUAUUGCGUUUGAAGUCAAUCCCUGUUACCACCUCCAGCCCCAGGUAACCACUGAUCUACUUUUUGUCUCUACAGAUUUGCCUUUUCUAGACAUUUCAUGUAAAUGGAAUCAGACAACACGUGACCUUUUGUGUCUGGCUUCUUUCACUGAGUAUAAUCUGAGGUUCAUCCAUGUCUCAGAAUGUAUCAAUAGUUCCUUUUUAAAAUUGAUGAAUAGUAUUCCAUUGAUUGGAUGUAUCACAUUGAAAGUUUUGUUUAAUGUGUAUUUAUUUAUUUUGAGAGAGAGACAGAGCGAGCAGGGAGGGGCAGAGAGAGAGAGAGAGAGACAGAAUCCCAAGCAGGCUCUGUGCUGUCAGCGUGAAGUCUGAUGCGGGGCUUGAACUCACGAACUGUGAGAUCAUGACCUGACCCCAAAUCAAGAGUCAGAUGCUUAACCAACUGAGUCACCCAGGCACCCAUGGGUGUAUCACAUGUUUACUUAUUCAUUCCCCACUUGGUGAAAUUUGUAUUGUUUCUAGUUUGGGACUCUUAUGAAUAUCGCUGGUUUGAAUAUUUGCAUACAGAUCAUUAUGUGAAAAUGUAUUUUCAUUUCUCUCAAGUAGAAACCUAGAUAGAGAAUUGCUGGGUCAUGUGGUAAAUUUAACAUUUUAAGACAUUUUCAAGCAGUUUGACAAUGAAGUUGUACCAUUUUACACCACAAAAAGCACUCCAAGAGUUGGUUUCUCCACAUCCUCGCAAACACUUGUUACUGUCAGUCUUUUUUCAUUUAUUUAUUUAUUUAUUUAUUUAUUUAUUUAUUUAUUUAUUUAUUUUGUGAUUUAUUUAUUUUGAGAGAGAGCGAGGGCAUGAGCUAGAGAGGGGCAGAGAGAGAGAGAGAGAGAGAGAGAGAGAGAGAGAGAGAGAGAGAAAGAGAGAGAGAGAAUGCAAAGCAGGCUCCACAGUGCCAGUGUGGAGCCUGAUGCCAGGUCAAAUUGAAUCCAUGAACCGUGCGAUCAUGACCUGAGCUGAAAUCAAGAGUCAGACGCUUAACCAACUGAGCCACCCAGAUACCUGUUGGAUAUCUCUUAAUGUACUUAUUAAUGAUUUAUAUAUCUCUGGUAACUAUUCAUAUAUUUUACAUGUUUUAAAAUCAGGUUGUUUUCUUGUUGAAUUGUAAGAGAUCUUUAUUUUGGAUAUAGUUGCUUAAUCAGAACUAUGAUUUGCAAAUAUUUUCUCUGUAUAUGUGGCUUGUCUCUUUCUUAAUUGUGGUAGGAAAAACUCUUGACGUAUAAAGGCUUUUAAUGUUGAUGAAUUCCAGUUUAUCAGUGUCUUUGUCUUAUUGAUCAUGCUUUUGGUGACAUAGCUCAGGGCUCUGCUUAACCCAAGCUCACAAAGAUUUUCUCCUGUGCUGCCUUCUAGGGGAUUUGGAGUUUUGGCUUACUUUUAGACUUUAAAGCAUCUUCACCAAUUUUUUGUGUGCAUGCAUAAUGGAAGGUAAAGGUCUAAAUUCAUCUUUUUUGCAUGUGGAUAUCCAAUCGUUUUAGCACCGCUUUUCAAAAAGAUGAACUAUCCCCGCACCGUCCCUAAGAAUCCAUUGAUGAGAAAUGCAAAGGUUUAUUUCUAGGCUCUGUUAUACUCCAUUGACUUAGAUGCCUGUCCUUACACGAGCCCCACAUUAUCUUGAUUACUAUAGCUUUACAGGCAGUUUUGAAAAUGGGUUGUAUAAAGUCUUUUAACUUCUUUUUCAAAAUUGUUAGACUAUUUUGGGUCCUUUGCAUUUCUAUAUAAUUUUAGGAUCACCUUGCCAAUUUAUUAAAAAAAAAAAACAAUUUUAGGAUCACCUUGCCAAUUUAUUAAAAAAAAAAAAAAACAACUUGUGGGGAUUUUCCUGAGGCUUAUAUUGAAUAUGUAGAUCAGUUUCGGGGAGAAUUGCCAUAUUGAUAGUUUUGAGGCUUGUAAUUCAUGAACAUGGAACGUCUAGACUUCUUUUGGGUCUUCUGUAAUAUCCUUCAGUAAGCUCUGUAGCUGUCACACACAGGCCUUACACCUGAUUAAAUCUUUGCUGUUGUGAGCUGAAUUCUUUAAUUUUUGAAUUGUUGCAAUAACAGAAAUACAGUUGGCUUCUGUAUAUUGAUUUCGUAUCCUGAAAUCUUUGGAAACUGGAUCAUGUCAUCCCUGGAUAAAGAUCUCUUUACUUCUUCCUUCCCAAGCUGGAUACCCUUCCUUCCUGCAUUAGUCUAUGCAGAUUGUCAUACAGAGCACAACGGUCGGGUGGCUUAAAUGUCAGAAAGUGCUUUUCUCACAGUCCUGGGGGGUGGGAAGUCAGGAUCAAUAUGCUGGUAGAGUGGAUCUCAUUCUGAGGCCUCUUCUCUUGGCUUAUAGGUGGCUGCAUCUCACUGUGUGCUCUUUUCUUUUUUUCUUUAAUGUUUAUUUACUUUUGAGAGAGAGAGAGAGAGAGAGAGAGACAGAGCAUGAGCAGGGCAGGGGCAGAGAGAGAGAGGGAGACACAGAAUCCAAAGCAGGCUCCAGGCUCCGAGCUGUCAGCACAGAGCCUGACGCAGGGCUUGAACUCAGGAACCAUGAGAUCACAACCUGAGCUGAAGUCGGACGCUCAACUGACUGAGCCACCCAGGGGCCCCUCUCUGUGGCUCUUCUUUGGCGUGGGGAGAAAGACAGUGGGCUCCCUGGCUCCUCCUCUCAUAAGGACAUUAAUCCUGUCAGAUCAGAGUCCCCCCACUCUUACUCAUCUAACCGUAAUUACUUCCUUACCCAAAUACAGCCACAUUGGGGAUUAGGGAUUCAAUGCAUGAAUGGGGUGUCGGGGGGGGGGCUUUCAUUCUAUAAUCCUCCCUUCGCUUCUGUUUGUACUGCCUACAACCUGUAGUAUAAAGAUCAGUGUCAAAUAGGAGCGGUAAGAGCAGACAUGCUUGUUUUCUUCCUGAUCUUGGGGAAAGCAAUCUUUGACCAUGGAGUUGGAUGUUAACUACAGGUUUGGGGUACGCUUUAUGAGGUUGAGGAAGUUUCCUUGUAGUCUUAGUGUGUUGAGAGUUUUCAUCAUGAAUAAAUGUUGGAUUCUGUCAAAUGCCUUCUUCCCCCUGCACAUAUUGUGGUUCUUGUCUUUUAUUCAUAUGGUGUAUGACGUUACUUGAUGUUUGGACGUUAAAACAUCCUUUCAUUCCUGGAAUACAUCCCACUUGAUCAUGGUGCAUGGCUUUUUAUCUAUGUGUUUCUGAAUUUAGUUUGCUAAUAUUUUGUAUUUUUCUUGUGAUAGCUUUGUCUCACCUUGGUACCCAUGGAAUACUGGCCCUGUAAAAUGAGUUGGUGUUUCCUCCCCUUCUGUAUUCUGGAAACAAGUGAACUGUUGGUAUUCAUUCUCUCAUUGUUUGGUAGAAUGAACCAGUGACUCCGUCCAAGCCUGAGCUUUCCUUGGUGGGUAAAAGGCUGAUUUGAUCUCUUUAUUUGUUAUAAGUCUAUUCAGAUAUCUCUUUCUUAAGACAGGUUUGAUAACUUGUGUCUUUCCAGGAAUUUAUCCAUUAGAUGUAAGCCCUCCAGUUUGCUCUCCUAUACUUGUUCAUAGUACUCUCCUAUAAUCCUUUAAAUUUCUGUAAAGUCAGUAGAAUGUCUCCUCUAUCACUCCUGAUUUUACUAAUUUGUACGUUUUUCUUUCUUGGUCAUUCUAGCUAAAGAUUUGCCAAUGUUGGUGAUCUUUUUGAAGAACCAUUUUUGAAAAAACAGGAACAGCAGGAAGACCAUUUUUUUUUUAAUGUUUAUUUUUGAGAGAGAGAGCGUGAGCAGGGGAGGAGCAGAGAGAGAGAGAAGGAGACACAGAAUCCAAGCAGGCUCCAGGUUCUGGGCCAUCAGCACAGAGCCUGACACAGGGUUUGAACUCACGAACUGUGAGAUCAUGACCUGAGCCGAAGUCAGAUGCUUAACCAACUGAGCCACCCAGGCGCCCCUGAAAAAACAUUUUUGGAAUUUGUUCAUUUUCUCUAUUUUUCUAUUUCAUGUUUUUCUACUCUAAACUGUAUUAUGAUUUCUUCCUUCUGCUUAUUUGGAUUCAUUUUGUGAUUCUAGUUUUUUUUUUUUAAAUUUUAAUGUUUAUUUUUGAUUUUUUUUUUUCAACGUUUUUUAUUUAUUUUUGGGACAGAGAGAGACGAGCAUGAACGGGGGAGGGGCAGAGAGAGAGGGAGACACAGAGUCGGAAACAGGCUCCAGGCUCUGAGCCAUCAGCCCAGAGCCCGACGCGGGGCUCGAACUCACGGACCGCGAGAUCGUGACCUGGCUGAAGUCGGACGCUUAACCGACUGCGCCACCCAGGCGCCCCUAAUGUUUAUUUUUGAAAGAGAGAAAGAGCACGAGAGGGGGAAGGGCAGAAAGAGAAGGAGACAGAGGAUCCAAAGCAGGCUCCAGGCUCCAAGCUGUUAGCACAGAACCUGAUGUGGCGCUUGAACCCACAAACUGUGAGAUCAUGACCUGAGCUGACGUUGGACAGUUAACCGACUGAGCCACCCAGGCGCCCCUGUGACUCUAGUUUCUUAAGGAGUAAAGUCAGGUUUUUGAUUUGGAUCUUUUUUUAUGCAUGUGUUUCCAGCUACAAAUUUCCCCCUAAACUCUACAUUAGAUGCAUCCCAUAAACUUAGUAUGUAGUAUUUUCAUUUCAUUCACCAAAAAAUAUUUUAUAAUUUCCAUUGUGGCUUUUAGAAAUUUCGAAUUUAAUUCCGUUGUGACUAGGGAAUGUACUUUGUAUGAUUUCUAUUGAAUGAAAUUUAUUACAAUUUGUUUUAUGGCCUAGAUACAUCCUCAGGCUUGAAAGGAAUAUAUGCUUUUCUGACAUUGGGAGGAAUGUUGUAUAAAUGGCAGGAUGAUAAGCUGGCAAUAGUGUUGUUCAGGUCUUCUGUGUCAUUGAUUUUCCUUUCUCAGGUUCAAUGAUUGGAUUGAGGUAUUGAAGUCUCUAUUGAUGGUCGAAUUGUCUAUUUCUCCUGUCAAUUCUGUUUAAUUUUUCUUACUGUCUUUUGGGGCUCUGUUGUUAGGCGUGUUUGUGUUUAUAAUUAUAUCUUCUUGAUGAACUGACACUUUAAUCAUUAUGAAAUAUCUCUUUUGUUUCUAAUAACAUGUCUUGUCUAAAACAUCAUUUUGUCUUAUAUUAAUGUACUCACACCAGCUCUUUUCUGGUUUGCAUACUAUAUAUUUUUCCACCCCUUUGACUUUCAAACUGUGCCUUUACAUCUAAUAUGUGUGUUCUGUAGACAGCAGAUAUCUGCAUCCUUUUUUUAAAGUCCAGUCUGACAAUCUUUGCUGUUUGUCCAUUUAUGAGUAAUAUAAUUUUUGAUAUGGUUCGAUUUAUGUCAUUUUUUAUAUAUUUAAUAUUAAUUUCGAUUCUCUGUUGUUCCUUUACUGCCUCCUUUUGUGUUUAACAGAUAUAAAGUUGUACCACUUUAAUUCCUUCAUGGAUUUUUUUCUUAAAAAAAUGAUUUCCUAGUGGUUUCUCUAGGAUUCAUCUAUAAUAUGCAUCUUCAGCACAAUCUACUUCAGAUUAUCACUAGCUUUAUUUGGGUAAAUGGAGAAACUGUUCUGCUAUAUAGCUGUUUCCUCCCCCUCCUUUAUUUUAUUAUUGUUAUAUCUAUAUAUGCAGUAAUCCCCAAAUAUGGUGUUAUUAUUGUUUUAUGCAGUCAGGUCUUUUAAAAGUUGAGAGAAGGAAAAAUGUAUAUAAUAUUUUAUAUUUACCACAUAUUUAUCUUUUCCAGUGAUUUUUCAAACAUUUAUUUUUGAGGGGGGAGGGGCAGAGAGAAGGCAGAGGAUCCAAAAUGGGCUCUGCACUGGCAGAAGAGAGCCCAAGGAGGGGCUCAAACUCAUGGGCUGUGAGAUCAUGACUUGAGCCAAAGUCAGACGCUCAACUGACUGAGCCAUCCAGGUACCCCUUCCAGUGAUUUUUUAAAUGUAAAUUCUAGUUACCAUCUGCUGUCAUUUAUUCUCAGCUUUAAAGGAUCUCCUUUAGUAUAUUUGAUAAUUUGCAGGUUACUACCAACAAAUUCUACCUUUAUCAGAGGAUAUCUUUAUUGACCUUCGAUUUUGAAAGAUGGUUUUUGCGGGACACAGAAUUCAUGGUAUAUUUACCAAGAACUUUUUUUUCUUUCCAGCACUUUGAAAAUGUUAUUACAUUGUGUCUCUGUUGUUUCUGUUGAUGUUUAGCCAUUAAAUCGUAUUUCCUUGUACAUGAUGAGUCAUGAGUCAUUUUUUUUUCCUUGCUGUUUCUAAGAUUUUUAUCAUUGUAUUUUUCUUUCAGCUGUUUGACUCUAAUAUGUACAGGUGUAGAUCUCUCUAUAUUUAUCCUACUUGGGGUUUAUUGAGCUUCCCUAGAUCAGUAGAUUAAUGUUUCGGGUCUUUAGUUCUUCAAUACUUUUUGCGGCUUCUUCCUCUCUCCCCACCCUCCCUUCUCAGACUUCCAUUAUGUGCAUGUUGGUUCACUUAUUAAUAUCCCAUACGUCUUGAGGCACUAUUAAUUUAAAAAAAAUAUUCUUUUGGGGCACCUGGGUGGCUCAAUCAGUUAUGCGUCUGAUUUUGGCUCAGGUCAUAAUCUCGCAGUUUGUGAGUUCGAGCCCCAUGUCGGGCUCUGUGCUGACAGCUCAGAGCCUAGAACCUGCUUUGGAUUCUGUGUCUCCCUCUCUCUCUGCCCCUCCCCUGCUCACACACACUCUCUCUCUCUCUCUCUGUCUCUCAAAAAUAAACAAAUGCAAAAAAAAUAUUCUUUUGUUUCUGUUCCUCAGCUUGGAUAAUCUCUGUCUUUGGGUUCAGAUUCUUUGUCUGCUUAAAUCUGUUGUGUCCCUCUAGUGCAUUUUUCAUUUCAGUUACUGUACGAUAUAACUGCAGAGUCUUCCUGUAGCUUUUUUUAAUUCAGAUUGGCUAUGUCUUUUUUUUUAAUGUUUAUUUAUUUACUGAGAGAGGGACACAGAGUGUGAGCAAAGGAGGAGCAGAGAGAGAGGGAGACACAGAAUCCGAAGCAAGCUCCAGGCUCUGAGCUGUCAAUACAGAGCCCAAAGUGGGGCUCGGACUCACGAGCUGUGAGAUCAUGACCUGAGCUGAAAUCUGAUGCUCAACCAACUGAGCCACCUAGUCACCCCUCAGAUUGUGUAUUUCUUGACUUGGGGUAUACUUUCUUUAAGUUUUUGAAAUAAUUUUAAGUUUUUUUUUUUUUUUUUGUAGUAAUAGCCACAUCGAAAUCUUUGCUAAAGUCAACCAGCUGGACCUACUGGACGGUUUCUAGUGACUACUUUAUUUUCCUGAAUAAGGUUUACAAUUUACUAUUUCUUUACAUGUCUCCUAAGUUUUGGUUGAAAACUGGACAUCUAAGAGGCAACUGGGUGGCUCAGUUGGUAAAUCUGACUUUGGCUCAGGUCAUGAUCUUGCUGUUUGUGAGUUCAAGCUCUGUACUGACAGCUUGGAGCCUGGAGCCUGCUUCAGAUUCUGUGUCUCCCUGUCUCUCUGCCCCUCCCCUGCUUGCACUCUGUCUCUUUCUCAAAAAUAAGUAAACAUUAAAAAAACAAAGAAAGAAAACUGUACAUUUAAAAUGCAUUGCAGUAGGGGCGCCUGGGUGGCUCAGUUGGGGGACUCUUGAUUUCAGCUCAGGUCAUGAUCUCUUGGUUGGUGGGAUCGAGCCCCACCUUGGGCUCUGAGCUGACAACAUGGGGCCUGCUUGGAAUUCUCUCUCUCUGCCCCUCCCCUGCUCUCUCUCUCACAUCUCCUCUGCUGGUGCAGGUAGGCAGGCAGCAAGCGAUGUAUGAAGAGCAUAUCAAGGUGGCUAUUUCAUUUCCUGUGUCUCCCCGUUAAUUAGUUUGCUUGCCUGUUGCUUGCGCCAGGUAGGACAGCAACUCAGGUCUGCUGAGCAGCUCGCCUGCUCUGUUGGUUUGCUGCUGAGAUUGCUGUCGUUGCUUAUAAUUGGCCCUGCCCGUGGGCUUUGCAAGCUGCAGUGCAGAUCAAGUAAGUGUGCACUCAAGUGGGCAGUGCAGCCGGUGAUCUUCCUGACUCGCACACCCUCGGAGAACUACUCGAAGUGCCGGGGAUGGCAGGAAUGACGUUGACUCUUCCUGUUCUUACCUGAAGUUGAGCACAUUUCCGUGAAUAAAGACUUCGAAGUUUUUUUGUAUGCCUUUGGACAAUUUCCAGUGGUUGCUUUUGACGGUUUUGUCCAGUUUUAUUGUUUUUUGACGGAAGGAUUGGACUCCUUACUCCACCGUACUACAAGUCCUGUCUUCCUCCUAGCCAACUUCAAAUUUUUACUUAUUUCUAUUCUUGCAGUGAUGUGUGCGUGUCGUGUCUACUUAAUCCUUUGCUUUACUAUUUUUUUUUUCUUUCAGAAAGUUUUUGUAGAUAAUGAACUUUCAGGGUGCUUGCAGGUCCAUGGUUAUCAUUGUCUUUGCACUUGAAUAGCACCUGAACUGUUUUUGAGAUUAUGCUUUCAAAUCCCUGCACGCAGCCUCCCCCCCACCACCCACCAAACCCAUUGCUUUCUAAAAUCAAGAAUUGCGGGUAAGUCUGAUACCCACCUGAUCCUUUUUCCUUUUUAACUAGACUGUCAUCUCCUCUGGAAUCUUUUAAAACUUUCCCUUAAUCCUUAGUGUUCACCUUGGUGUCGAGGUGGGAGCUUUUUGUUUUUCACUGAAGCUUGAAGGGCUUUCCUCCAUUUUGUUUGCCCUCUUAAUUUGUACUUGUUGGUAUUUAAGGUUUUUUUGAUAUUUAUUUUUGAGAGAGAGAGAGACAGAGAGUACUAGUGGGGUAGGGGCAGAGAGAGAGGGGGAGACAGAAUCUGAAACAGGCUCCAGGCUCUGAUCUGUCAGCACAGAGCCUGAUGUGGGGCUCAAACUCACCAACUGUGAGAUCAUGACCUGAGCCAAAGUUGGACAUUCAACCGCCUGAGACACCCAGGUGCAACCCCCCUUUUUUUUCUUUAAAUUUUUUUUAAUGUUUAUUUAUUUUUGAGAGAGACAGAGCACAAGUGGGGGAGGGGCAGAGAGAGGAGGAGACACAGAAUCCGAAGCAGGCUCCAGGCUCUGAGCUGUCAGCCCAGAGCCCAACGUGGGGCUCAAACCCACGAACCGUGAGAUCAUGACCUGAGCCGAAGUCGGAUGCUUAACCGACAGAGUCACCCAGGCACCCUUCUAAAAAGAUUUACAUUUUUGUUCAUCAUAUUUACAUUUUGGAUCUAUCAGGAAUGUAUUUUUUGUAUGAGGGUAGGACUCUAAUUUCAUUUCUUCCACAUGAUCAAUGGUACCAGCGCUUUGCUUAAAUGCCCAUCCCUUCCCAAAUGAUUUAUGUUGCCUAUUCUGUCAGAUCAAGUUGCUUUUCAUACAUGAGUUUGUUUAUGGGAGAUUGAGAUCUUUAUUGAAAUUGCAUUUACGAAUGCAUUAUUUUCUUCAAAGAACCAGUGUCUCUGUUGUUUUUUGAUUCCAUAUUGUAUACUUACUUCCUAUUGAUUUCUGCUCUUAUUCCUUCUUCUUACUUUCUAUGGCUUGAAUUUGCUCUGCUUUUUCUGAUUUCUUCAGAUGGAUAUUUUGGUUAUUUUCAGAUAUGCAUCAUUUUAUUAUCUUAGUGUAUUUAUCUUGGCUAAAAAUUUCCUAUGAACAUCAAGUGCAUCCCCAUUUUUAUACAUUGUAUUUUCAUGACUCAGUUAAAAAUGUUUUCUACUAUCCAUUUUCAUUUUUUGUUUGAUCAGUGGAUUAGCUAAUAGUAUAUUCUGUAAUUUCCAAAUACUUUGGGCUUUUUGUUACCUCUGUUUGUUUUUCAGUUCUAUGCACUGCUGUCGGAGAAUAUAUUCUGUAUAAUUUCUAUCCUUUGUUGAUAUUUUACAAUCCAGAAAAGGUCAGUUUUGGAAAGUGUUCCAGAGUAUUUGAGAAAAAAAAAAUAUAUCCUGCAGUUGUUGACAGUGUUCCAAAUACAUCAACUUUGCUUUGUUUUUCAAACCUCUAUCCUGAUCUUUAAAUUCUGUUUCUUCUCUCAGUUACUAGGGAAAGUCUGUUAAAAUCUCCAAAUGAGAUUAUGGAUUUGUUUCUUCUCUCCUGGCUUUGCUUAUUAUAUUUGCUCGCUUAUGUUUUAGAUAUAUACAAAUUUAAGACUGCUUUAUCCUGUUGAUUUGAUUUUUGUAAAUAUGAUAAGACUCUUUGUCUCUGGUAAUACUUUUUAGAGCAAAUACCGUAAAAUGCAUAUAUCUUAAGUAUAUAGCCUCAUUCAUUUCCAUCUAUGCACAUACCUGUGAAACCAUUACACAGAUCAAGGGGUAGAAGGUUUCUGUCACCCCAAAAAGUACCAUGCUCCUUCCCAAUUAACUACUAUCUUGAAUUCUGUCAUCAUGGAAUAGGUUUGCUUGCUAUUUGUUGGACCUUAUAUAAUGGAACCAUACAGCAUGCAUCCUCACACUGGCUUCUUUUGCUACACAAAUAUAUUUAUAAAGAUUUGUAUUAUUACGUAUUUGUUGCUGUGCAGUUUUCCAUUAUGUGUAUGCCACAAUUAUUUGUUCUCCUGCUGAUUUCCAUUUGUGUUGUUUUCCAGGGUAUUUUGGGGGAGGCUAUUAUGGCUAAAGUUGCUAUGGUGUUUUUGUACAGAUCCUCUUUGUUGGACCCAUCUACUCAUCCCUUUGGGCAUAUACCCUAGGAGUAAACUUACUGGGUCAUAGCGCAGGCAUGUGUUUAACUUUUAACUGCCACGUUUCCAAAGUGGUUGUGCCAUUUCACACUUCUGCCAGCAAAUACAGGAGUGUAGCUUUCCAUCUGUGCUGCAGUGUUGCAGACACUUGAAUUUGUCCAUCUUUAUAGUCCUACCCACUCUGGUGAGGUUUACUGGUAUUACAUUUUAAUUCUGAUGUGCCUUUCCCUGAUGAAUAAUAAUACUGAGCACCUAUUUUCACCUACUGUUGGCUAUUUGUAUAUUUUCUUUUGUGAGGCGCCUGUUCAAAUGCAGUUUUUCCUCCAGCUCAUCUGGAUCUUGCUUUUUUUUUUUAAAAUCCAGAUAAGCUAUGAGUUACAUGCAUUACAAGUAUCUGCAUGCGUGGCUUGCCUUUGCAUUGUUUCAGUGUCCUAUUUUGAGGAGACGUGUUUCAAUUAGUUCCAUUUAUCAUGGUUCUCUGGUUAAUUUUGGGGGGACAUUUUUCUUGGCAGAAUGCUAGCUUGGCAGUUAUUUUCACACUUUAAAGCUGUCUGUUUUGCUCUUUUUUAAGAUACUGUCCUCUCCUGGUUGCAUGUAACAUUGUUCUCCUUUUUUCUUCUUUAAAAAUUUUUUAGUGUUUAUUUUUGAGAGCGAGAGUGAGCGCAUGAGCAGGGGAGGGGCAGAAAGAGAGGGAGACACAGAAUCCAAAGCAGGCUCCAGGCUCUGGACUGACAGCAAAGAGCCCAAAACGGGGCUCGAACCCACCAGCUCUGAGAUCAUGACCUGAGCCAAAGUCGGAUGCUCAACCGACUGAGCCACCCAGCUGCCCCAAAAUUGUUCUCCUUUUCCUUUUGUUUUACUAUGAUGCUCCUAGGUGUAUUUUUCUUUGUAUUUAUCUUGCUAUGGGUUUGUAGAGCUGAUUGAAUCUGUGGCUUGAUAUCUUUACAUUUAAAAAAAAUCUAGACCCAGUAUUUCUUUUCAAAAAUACUUCUGUUCUAGUCAAGUUCUCUCUCCCUGUCCUCCUGGGAUUCUAAUGACAAGUUAGAUAUUUUCACUAUGACUUACAUCUUAUAUUACUUAUAUAUCUCAUGCUUUUAUUUUUCCGUGUUUUAGUGGGUGUUCUUCAAUCUGGAUAUUUUUUUAAAUGUUUAUUUUUGAGAGAGAGCAUGAACAGGUGAGGGAUGGGGGAGGGGAGAAACAGAGGAUCUGAAGUGGGCUCUGUACUGAGAGCAGAGAGCCCAAUGUGGGGCUCGAACCCAUGAACCAUAAGAUCAUGACCCUUGCCAAAGUAGGACACUCAACUGACUGAGCCACCCAGGCGUCUUCAAUUUAUACCAUACGGUAGUAUACAGUACAAAUUUUAACUAAUCUAUCUUAACUCAUUGAUCUCUUCUGCUGGAUGUUCAUUCUGCUGUUAAACCCAUCCAGUGAAUUAUAAUUUUAAUGAUUUAAAAAAUUUUAAGAUUUCCAUUUGAUUCUUCUAUGGAUUCCAGAUAUCUAGUUCAAUUCUCCACCUUUUCAUUUAGCUUAUUAUAUUAAUCAUAAUUCCAAUAUCUGGAUUAUCUUGGGUUUCUUUCUAUUACCUGCCUUUUCUCUUCGUUUUCCUAUUUGGUCCUGUGUCUUGGCAUGUCUCUUAGUUUUUUAAACUUGAGACAUAACCGACAUGUUCUAUUCGUUUCAGGUAUACAACACAAUGAUUCAAUAUUUGUGUAUAUUGUGAAAUGAUCCCCAUGGUAAGUCCAGUUAACAGCCAUCACCACAUAUAGCAAUUUUCUUUUCCUUAGGAAAACUCUUAAGAUCUACUUUCUUAGUAACUUUCAUAUACAAUGCAGUACUAUUAACUGUAGUCACCAUGCUAUCUAUAUAUCACGUCCCCAUGAUUUACUUACUGUAUGAUUAAGAGUUUGUACCCUUUGACCAUUUAUUAAUUUCACCAACCCCCUACCUCUAGCAACCACCAAUGUGUUGUGUAUUUAUGAAUUCGUGUUUUUGUUCAUUUUAGAUUCCACAAGUGAGGUUUCUCAGUCUUAUUUCAUGUAGCAUAAUGCCCUCAAGUCCUAUCCAUGUUGUCACAGAAGGCAUGAUUUCCUUCUAUUUUAUGGCUGAGUAAUAUUGCAUUGUGUAACACACACACACACACACACACACACACACACACCCCACUCCACAUCUUUGUCCACUCAUCCAUGGAUAGACACAGGCUGCUUCCACGUCUUGGCUAUCAUAAAUGCUGCAGUGAACAUGGAGGUCCAUAUAUCUUCUUCAGUUAGUGUUUUCAUUUCCUUCAGAUAAAUACCCAGUAAUGGAAUUGCUGGAUCAUAUGGUAGUUCCAUUAUUAAUUUUUUGAGGAACUUCCAUACUAUUUUCCAUAGCCGCUGCACCAAUUUACAUUCCUACCAAGGGUACACAAGGGGUCCAUUUUCUCCACACCCUUGUCAACACUGGUUAUUUCUUGUCUUUUAAAUAAUAGUCAUUAAAACGUGUGGGGUGGUUUUGAUUUCCAUAUUCCUGAUGGUUAGUGAUGUUAAGCAUUUUUUUAUUUACCUGUUGGCCAUUUGUGUAUCUUUUCUGGAAAAAUGUUUAUUCAGAUCUUCUGCCCAUUUUUAAUCAGGUGUGUUUUGUUGUUUUUGGUUGUUGCUAUUGAGUUAUAGGAGUUCUUUAUUUAGUUUAGGUAUUAAGCCCCUUAUUGGUUGUGUCACUUGCAAAUGCCUUCUCCCAUUCAGUAGGUUGCCUUUUCAUCUUGCUGAUGGUCUUCUUUGCUGUGCAGAAGCUUUCUAGUUUGAUGUAGUCCCACUUGUUUAUUUUUGCUUUUGUCAAAUCCAAAAAAAUCAUUGCUAAGACGGAUGUCAAGAGUUAACUGCCUAUUUUUUCUUCCAGGAUUUUUAUGGUUUCAGGUCUUAGAUCCAAGUCUUUAAUGCAUUUUGAAUUGAUUUUUGUGUAUGGUGUGAACUGUGGUCCCUUUUUUUUUUUUUGCAUGCAGCUGUCCUAUUUUCCCAGCACCACUUAUCGAAAAGACCAUUCUUUCCAUUGUAUAUUACUGGCUCCUUUAUUAUAAAUGGACUAUAUAUGUGUGGUUUAUUUCUGGGCUCUGUUCUGUUCCAUUGGACUUUGUGUCUAUUUUUAUGGCAAUACCAUACUGUUUUGAUUACAAUAGUUGUGUGAUAUAGUUGAAUCAGGAAAUGAGAUUGCUUGGGCUCUUUGGGGUCUUUUGUGGUUUGGUAAAAAUUUUAGAAUUGUUCUAUUUCUGUGAAAAAUGCCAUUCAAAUUUUUAUAGGGAUUGUAUUGAAUUGGUAGAUUGCCUUGGGGUGUUUCCUUAAAUGGUGAACACUGUAUAGGAAAAACUGUAUCUUCCUACAGAGAGGAUUUAAUUUUCUUCUAGCAGGCCAAUGAAGGACAAAUUCCCCUAAAAAGGCUUAUCCCUUGUUUGCAUUUAUUUCUAAGCACAGAUUUUCUGAAUUUUUGACUAUAAGCUUAGGGUGUAAACAGGUGCCUUCCUCCUUGGGACACUCUGAAAUCCAGUUUUUGUUUCCCAGCAUGGUGACACUUUCCAAAAUACCUGCUGAACAUUGAACCUCUUAGCUGCUUUUUUUUUUUUUUAAAUGUCUUUUGUUUAUUUCUGAGACAGAGUAUGAGUGGGGGAGGGGUGGAGAGGGAGGGAGACACAGAAUCUGAAGCAGGCUCCAAGCCCUGAGCUGUCAGCACAGAGCCCAACGUGGGGGGUCGAACCCACGAACCAUGAGAUCAUGACCUGAGCUGAAGUCGGUCGCUCAACUGACUGAGCCACCCAGGCGCCCCGAACCUCUUGGCUGCUUUUUCUGCCUGGGUUCUUGUCUGCUCCAUUCAUCUCAUUCAUGAGCAAUUUAGGAAUCAGCAAAUAAAUACCUUGAGAGUAAACUGUGUAGGGUGGGUGGGGGAGGAUUCAAUGUUUUCUCCUUCUCUCCAGGUUCUUGGCCCCUCGAAUUCUGACUUCCUUGAUCACUAUCCAGUGAUGUCAAGCAGAUGUCCAUUUCUCUCUGCAGUCCUGUCAGUUGCUUAAUAAACUUUGAGGCUGUACUGUUAAGGGGCACAAAUGUUCAUGACAGUUAUACCUUCUUGCUCUGUUUCUCAAUAUACAAGGUCUUUUUGUGCCUCUUGAUAGAUUUUUAUCUUGAAUUAUGUGGUCCAGUCUUCCGAAUGCCACUCGUUUUUCUCGUCUUGGUUUUGUGGUUCCUUUUUGCCUAGUUUGUAUUCUUCCUCCCUUUAAUUGCAACCUGUAUCUUUUGGUCUAAAGCCAUUCUUUUUAAAAAGAUUUAUUUUGAAUUAAUCUCUACACCCAACAUGGGGUUUGAACUCAUGACCCUGGGAUCAAGAGUCAUAUAUGCUUUACUGACAGGGCCAGCCAGACACUCCUAAAGCAGUUCGUAUAGACAGCAUGUUAGCUUAAAAAAAAAAAAAAUUGAGUCUGAGAUUUGCCAGUUGGCAAACAAGCCAUUUACCGAGAGUAUUGUUAGAUUAGGCUUUUGAGGCUCGCUUUCUUUUAAAUUCUUCCUUUCUUUGGUUAGACCAAAGAUUUAAGAGUUACACAUUCUUGGUUUCUAAGGUGGCUGUCCUAAAGACCAUAUUCAUUUUUGUAAAUUCCUACUGAAUUCUGAAACUUUAUUAAAGUGUAUUCUGAGAUCGAGAGAGUGUGUGCAAAAGGGGAAGAGGCACACAGAGAAAAUCUCAAGCAGGCUGCGGCCUGUCAGCGCAGAGCCCAACACGGGGCUUGAACCCAUGAACUGUGAGAUCAUGCCCUGAGCAAAAAUCAAGAGUCGGACACGCAAAUGACUGAGCCACCCAGAGGCGGCCCCUGAAAAUUUUAUAUUAAUAUCCUUUUAUCUUUUCCUAUGCACACCUUACCAUCCCUUUUAUAUAUUAAGUCUCCAGAAUUUCAGUUCUAGGUUACUAUGCUUUUCUGGUCCUUUUUAGACAAGAAAACAUCACUUGGUACCUUUGUCCAAACUCUUGGGUUUUCCUCCUCCCUUUUGAAUUUUCUUCUGAGUGUAUUUUCAAAGUCUCUGCCUAAAUUCCCAGGCCUUGCACACCUGACUCACCUCAACUGAUGUACAGUCCUAGGUUCAAGUUCUCCACCUUGUUUCCUGCUCUUGUAGAAUCUGAGGUCAGUCUGGUACUUUUCCCUUCACAGGUGGCCUGCUGUCUCUUGGGGUCUCACACUUCAUGAACAGUGUGUCCAGGCUUGGAAGUUUCCUGAUCUAUUCUGAUGUUCCUGCUUUCUUAAAAGUUCCGAUUCCUGUUUCCCCCUUCCUUUUGGGGCUUCUGUUAUUCACACAUUUUGAGUUUGGUUCCCAUUCCCUAAACUCAGGCUUGCUGUCUGAGCCUGGAUUCCAGUUCACGAGUUCACUCUGCGGCGGCUCACUCGCCCGUGCCCCUGAUCUCAACUCUCGUGUUUUGCCCCCGAUAUUUGUUUCUUCCGUCUGCUGCUUUUAGGAUUGCAUGUACGAUAAAUUUUUAUCCCAUCCCUUCCAACAGCUUGGCUUCAGUUCAGUUUGUGCCUCUGGUCUUGGAUACCGGUCCUCCUCAGGCAUCUAGUUACUCUGGCUGAAGAGUCCAACUUUCCCUGCAGCCUCCACCCCCAGGGCAGAGAACGCCAGGCAUCCAGAAACACCGCUGACCACUGUUUUGACCUCACGUAAUCUCUUUUGGUUGGAACUUCAACCUCAAACUCCAGGAAGUAUCGUAAAAGGAAGAAGCGGUCUCCCUUAGGUCUGAGGACUUGCACUUUUAGUAACGCAGACUGACUCAUUCCGACCAACCCUCCCGCUGGAAAAACCGGACCAAAUACUCAGUGCUCUGACGAAGCCAUGUGUGUGCCACCACAGGGUCCUAGCUCAGAUGGCCCGUCUGGCACGGUCACCUGGAAGGUGCUCCAAGGCAAGAGUUUUGUCCCUCACCCGAUGACGUGUGGCCUGCCUUUGCCUUCAGUCCCUGUUGCUCUCAGCCAUGCGGGUCCUACCGCCUUGACCUUUCCUUCGUGUCUGAGUCACAGAUUUAUUUAAUCUUUCCCUUGGUUACUUUGCUUUCUCUUACAGAAACUGCUCAGAGACUAAGACACUGGGGCUUGGCCUGAAGUAGUGGUUAGUAUGUGAGUCAAGGUCACCAUCUUUGAUUAAGAAAAAAAAGUUCCUUCAAAGCAAAAGAUGGUGACUUUGCUGGAGGUGCACAGGCAAGUGAAGGGCAGGCUAUGGGUGCUGCACAGUACAGAGUGCAGCUUCCUCUUGGGGCCCCGCCACCUUUCCCUGCACUGUUGUUCUCUUUCCUCACUGCUGUUUUCAUUCACAAAGGGAGCUGACAAACCAUCGUGGGGCUCUGGAGAGAUGGGGACGCUCCCUAUGUAGUCAGCACUGAAAGGUGACCACGGGCAAGGAUGGUAUAUACCAUGAAAACCUGAAGCUUCUCCCACUUCUGGCCAUCUGAGCCACAAAUUCUCUCCGUGGCUGGGUGCUGUGUGUUCCAGUCACGUUGACCUUACUUACACCAAUCUCCUUUCUGGUCCCGAGUUCCACCCCGGACGGUGAGGCGUUGGACCCGAUGGCCCUCUGGCAGUGUUCUGGGAUGGAAUGGCCGCCCUCGUGCUCAGGAAGUGACACCUGAACCACAGCCACGUCCCAGGGGUCCGCUUGCUUCACACAAGCUGGCAGCUGGUGUCGAGGGGCCUGUGUGCGGGUUGUGACUCGUGUCUCUUUCUUCAGAAAAAUAUUGCCAGGGUCUACCAGGUCGGCAAGAAGCCUCCGAAGUCUGUGGUGAAGGUGAUCAGAAUCGCAGCGCCUGCCAAAGACGCGGUUUAUAACUACAGCAUCCAGACCCUGAAUUCCACACAGCUUGCCAAGAAGGAGCUGUAUCGAGAGAUGGCCAAGGUGAGAGGCCCAGAGAGGGAGGCAGUGGAUGCUUGCACUCCAGAGUAACAGCUAACCUGGUGAACCCUCUCCUCUUGUGACCGUGCUGCCUGGAGGUCAGCACUCUCCGACGUGCACAAGAGAGUCAACCAGUGAGGGGAAGGAGACGGGGGGGGGGGGGGGGGGGGGGGGGGGGCNNNNNNNNGGGGGGUCGCACCCCGGAGGGAGAGGUGUUCUGUUCCCAUGCUACACGUGAAUCCUCCACACGUGGGAGAGCCAAGCGAUCCUCAACACGUGCUCCAGGCACCUGUCUGCACACAAGUGUGGAGGUCUCGCCUUCCCUAGAGAGCUCUUGUCGCCGUCACCCCGAAGGAAAAGCCUUGGCUGAGGCUGCCAGCACAUGACCUUUAGAAGAGGGCUGCUUCCGUCGAGAACACCCACGCCACCCUCACGGUUCAGUUACUCUGGAGGUCUGGUUGUCAGGGACGGUCAUUCUGUCCCCCCUAUGCCACCGUUUCUGACACCUGCUUGGAGACUAGAGGGCUAGUCGGCCCCGUCCGUGCCUGUUACCAGCCCUUCUACCCUCGUGUCUGCCCCUCGUUUCUAGGAGCCAAGGAAGAGGUUCACGUACUCCCAGAAUUACCUCUCAGCCAUGGUGGAGCCCCAGGACUCUGAGGAAGAGGAAAAGAAAGCCAAGAAGCAAUCCCGCCAGGCCUGGCUCACGGCCAACGGAUUCCAACUGACAGGUCUUCACAAAAGCACCGAAAGCGACCGUCACAUCAGGCUGCCGCCCGUUGGCAUGGUCACAGAGCUGAACGAGGUCCACGGGGGGGUGGGGAGGAGUAGGGCCUCAGGCAGGGUGUGCACAGGAACAUCCCUCCUAACUUACUGUGCCGUUCUCCACGUAGGAGUGGAGGGAAAACACACCGCUCGCUAACAUGCUGGAUCGAAGGAGGUGGACGUGGGACCGCCGCCACCAGGACUUUGACCUGUACGGGAAGCCACCACUUUUCUUCGAGCUGCCCCCUUCUCCAGUGCUAAAGCCCAGAACAGGUAAGAGG